AUGACGGUACCGUAAGAAUAAGCACCGGCUAACUACGUGCCAGCAGCCGCGGUAAUACGUAGGGUGCAAGCGUUAAUCGGAAUUACUGGGCGUAAAGCGUGCGCAGGCGGUUAUGUAAGACAGGUGUGAAAUCCCCGGGCUUAACCUGGGAACUGCAUUUGUGACUGCAUAGCUAGAGUACGGUAGAGGGGGAUGGAAUUCCGCGUGUAGCAGUGAAAUGCGUAGAUAUGCGGAGGAACACCGAUGGCGAAGGCAAUCCCCUGGACCUGUACUGACGCUCAUGCANGAAAGCGUGGGGAGCAAACAGGAUUAGAUACCCUGGUAGUCCACGCCCUAAACGAUGUCAACUGGUUGUUGGGUCUU
rnacentral:rRNA from 1 species